GACGAACGCUGGCGGCGUGCUUAACACAUGCAAGUCGAACGGUAAGGCCCUUCGGGGUACACGAGUGGCGAACGGGUGCGUAACACGUGGGUGAUCUGCCCUGCACUUCGGGAUAAGCCUGGGAAACUGGGUCUAAUACCGGACAGGACCACUGCCUGCAUGGGCGGUGGUGGAAAGCUUUUGCGGUGUGGGAUGGGCCCGCGGCCUAUCAGCUUGUUGGUGGGGUGAUGGCCUACCAAGGCGACGACGGGUAGCCGGCCUGAGAGGGUGACCGGCCACACUGGGACUGAGAUACGGCCCAGACGCGUACGGGGGGCAGCAGUGGGGAAUAUUGCACGAUGGGCGCAAGGCUGAUGCAGCGACGCCGCGUGGGGGAUGACGGCCUUCGGGUUGUAAACCUCUUUCAGCACCGACGAAGCGCAAGUGACGGUAGGUGCAGAAGAAGGACCGGCCAACUACGUGCCAGCCGCCGCCGUAA
rnacentral:rRNA from 1 species